ACUAUUUUGGCAGAAAAAUGUAAUGGUUUUAGAAAUCAUAAAUAUAUAAAUUAUUAUAUAGAUAGUA
rnacentral:tRNA from 2 species